rnacentral:tRNA from 1 species
UGGCGGAGUGUUGGAAUUGGUAGACAUAUGGCACUUAAAAUGCUAUGUCCGUACGGGCGUGGUGGGUUCGAGUCCCCCCUCCGCUACCAU